UGCCUCCCCCCCCCCUCUCGGAGGGGUGUGGGGGGUGCACGCGCGGCCCGGGCGGUUUCGAGGCCCCCCCCGCGCGCAGCCCGGAGCGCCCCGGGCCGAGCAGCGAUCAAAGAGCGGCGGGAGCGGAGCACGGGCCGGCCCGAAGCAGUUGAUUGAAAAGGCCGAAAUAAAUCCCGACGGCUCAGAACCACGAUUAGAUCACGGCGGGCGAUUCAUCCCGCGGGACGGCAACCGAGUCAGGGGACAGAGCCCAGCACACCGGGAUGCACGGGCACGGCACGGGGACAGACAGAUGGACAAGGACAGCCGGGCACAGGCGGCUGCCCCGCGGGGCACGGCCCGGCACAGGCGCUGGUGCAGCGGGACGUGCGGCUGCAGCGCAGAGCCGUGCCCGGGGACACGCCGGGGGACACGCGGAAGGACACGGGAUCACACCGGCAGCUUGGAGGCACAGCCUCCUCAUCCCCCUCCACAGCCACCAUGGGAAGGCCGCUGGAUCCCUGUCCGUGUGGGGAAGGCCAGGAAAAAGCCGUUGUGGAUUAUCCCGGUGCGUGGAGUCGGUGCCGGAGGGGAGGACGGUGCAGAUCCCAGCACUGGGGACGUGGGGUGUUUGGCUGCCAGGGCUCCUGGAGCGCUGGGGAAGAGUUUCUUGACUGAAAAAGAAAAGCAGAAAAAGACAAAAAAAGCA